GGGUUGUGAGGUUAAGCGACUAAGCGUACACGGUGGAUGCCCUGGCAGUCAGAGGCGAUGAAGGGCGUGCUAAUCUGCGAUAAGCGCCGGUAAGGUGAUAUGAACCGUUAUAACCGGCGAUACCCGAAUGGGGAAACCCAGUGUGAUUCGUCACACUAUCAUUAACUGAAUCCAUAGGUUAAUGAGGCGAACCGGGGGAACUGAAACAUCUAAGUACCCCGAGGAAAAGAAAUCAACCGAGAUUCCCCCAGUAGCGGCGAGCGAACGGGGAGGAGCCCAGAGCCUGAAUCAGCAUGUGUGUUAGUGGAAGCGUCUGGAAAGGCGCGCGAUACAGGGUGACAGCCCCGUACACAAAAAUGCACAUGCUGUGAGCUCGAUGAGUAGGGCGGGACACGUGGUAUCCUGUCUGAAUAUGGGGGGACCAUCCUCCAAGGCUAAAUACUCCUGACUGACCGAUAGUGAACCAGUACCGUGAGGGAAAGGCGAAAAGAACCCCGGCGAGGGGAGUGAAAAAGAACCUGAAACCGUGUACGUACAAGCAGUGGGAGCCCCACCACUAAGCCAGUGGUGAACUCCACAUACGCAUCCUUUGCUGAGGAUACGGUUAACGGAGCGCAAGCGACGUUCAACCGCAAAAGAAGCAGAGGGGGCUUAGUGGUGGGGUGACUGCGUACCUUUUGUAUAAUGGGUCAGCGACUUAUAUUCUGUAGCAAGGUUAACCGUAUAGGGGAGCCG
rnacentral:rRNA from 1 species